GGGGCAACUCAUGGAAGGUCGUGGAAGCCCUGUAGAGGCCUCAUAAUCCUUUGGUUCCAGGUUCGAAUCCUGGUGGGCCCACCA
rnacentral:tRNA from 1 species